UUGGGUUAAGGUCCCGCAACGAGCGCAACCCCUGCAUUCAGUUGCCAUCGGGUAAUGCCGGGCACUCUGGAAGGACUGCCAUCGACAAGAUGGAGGAAGGUGGGGAGUGACGUCAAGUCAUCAUGGCCCUUAUGUCCAGGGCGACACACGUGCUACAAUGGCCGGCACAACGGGAAGCGAGUUCGCGAGGACGAGCGGAUCCCUCAAAGCCGGUCGCAGUUCGGAUUGAAGUCUGCAACUCGACUUCAUGAAGCUGGAAUCGCUAGUAAUCGUGGAUCAGCCAAGCCGCGGUGAAUACGUUCCCGGGCCUU
rnacentral:rRNA from 1 species